rnacentral:rRNA from 1 species
GACGAACGCUGGCGGCGUGCUUAACACAUGCAAGUCGAACGAAGUGGCGAACGGGUGAGUAACGCGUAAUCAACCUGCCCUUCAGAGGGGGACAACAGUUGGAAACGACUGCUAAUACCGCAUACUGAAUGAGGGGUAGGCGUGUGAUUGGCUAGUUGGAUGGGUAACGGCCUACCAAGGCGAUGAUCAGUAGCUGGUCUGAGAGGGUGAACGGCCAAAUGGGGACUGCGACACGGCCCAGACUCCUACGGGAGGCAGCAGUGGGGAAACUUCCGCAAUGGACGAAAGUCUGACGGCGCAACGCCGCGUGGGUGAUGACGGCCCUCGGGUUGUAAAGCUCUGUUAAUCGGGACGCGGUACCGGAAUAGAAAGCCACGGCUAACUACGUGCCAGCAGCCGCGGUAAUAC